ACCCCUGCCCCUGCCCGUAAGAGAAAAACCCCCUUUGACUGUAAUUUUCCACUACCCACCCAAAUCCUAUAAAAUGGCCCCACCCCUAUCUUCCUUGGCUGAGUCUUUCCGGACUCAGCUCGCCUGCACCCAGGUGAAAUAAGUAGCCUUGUUGCUCACACAAAGCCUGUUUGGUGGUCUCUUCAUAUGGACGCGUGUGACAUUUGGUGCCGAAGACCUGGGACAGGAGGACUCCUUCGGGAGACCAGUCCCCUGUCCUCACCCUCACUCCGUGAGGAGAUCUACCUCGGGUCCUCAGACCAAACCAGCCCAAGGAACAUCUCACCAAUUUCAAAUCGGGUGUUGAGACUGAGGUUCAGAGGCCAAGAAGCUUACACAUGCUCACACAGCCAGGGAGUAGCAGAGCUGGGAUUUGAAUCCAGGAGUGUCUAAUCCCAACGUCCAAGACUUUUCCAUGAACCCAUCCUGCUUCCCUUCCAAGUCUGCAAGGGAGGUCCGGAUACAGGAGCUCUACAGGGCAUUGAUGGUAGCUUCUGCAUUUACUUAAUUUAUGUAACUUUCACUGAUCUAGUAUAAUACUAGGGACUGACUGUUUCUUGAGCUUUACAAAUACAACCUCAUUUAAGCUUCAUUAACAGGUCUAUGAGGUCUGUAUCAUUAUCAUCCUAUUUUACAAAUAAGGAAAUUGGCUGGAUGCAGUGGCUCACGCUUAUAAUCCCAGCACUUUGGGAGGCUGAGGCAGGCAGAUUGCCUGAGUUGAGGAGUUCGAGACCACCCUGGGCAACAUGGCAAAACCCAUCUCUACUAAAAAUACAAAAAUUAGCUGGGUGUGGUGGUGCAUGCCUGUAAUCCCAGCUACUUGGGAGGCUGAGGCAUGAGAAUUGCUUGAACCCGGGAGGUGGAGGUUGCAGUGGGCCAAGAUAGCAAGCACCACUGCACUCCAGCCUGGGAGACAGCAAGACUGUCUCAAAAAAAAGGAAACUGCAGCACAGAGAGGUAAAGUAACUUGCUCUAGGUCACACAGGAAGUAGUAGGGCUGGGAAUUGGACCUCAGUAGUUUGGUUCCCAGUAUAUGUUUCCCACCUUCCUUGAAGUGCUAUCCAGGAGGAGGAGGAGGAAGCAUACAAGUGGAUGCAUCACAAAGAAAUUAGAAAGCAGCAAAGUGAAAAUCCAAAGUCCGUGGAAAAGAACCCACCUUUUGCCUGACUUGAGUGAUAGGAGCCUGUGUUGGUGGGACUCAGGACUCACAUGCCUGGUGGUGUCAUCACUGGGCCUGUGGCUAGUGUUGCUCUUCUCAGGGGGACAGCAGGAAUCUUGUCCAAGUAGGCUCCUUGACCCAACCACUUAGUGUGGCACGGGAAGAAGACUUCUUUCUUUUUUUCUUUUCUUUCUUUUUUCUGAGACAGAGUCUCACUCUGUCGCCCAGGAUGGAGUGCAAUGGUGCGAUCUCGGCUAACUGCAACCUCUGCCUCCCAGGUUCAAGUAAUUCUCUCACCUCUGCCUCCUGAGUAGCCGGGACUACAGGCACGCACCACCAUGCCUGGCUAAUUUUUGUAUUUUUAGUAGAGAUGGGGUUUCACCAUGUUGGCAAGGCUGGUCUUGAACUCCUGACCUCAAGUGAUCCGCCCACCUCGGCCUCCCAAAGUGCUGGGAUUACAGACGUGAGCCACCGCGCCUGGCGGAAGACUUCUUUGUUUACAACCUCUCCCAUCUAUACUCCUUUCCCGCCGUGCCAUUAAACCCUAUCUGAGAUAGAGGACCUUAAAAACCUGCCCCCACCAGAUGAUGAUGGAUUAAUCCCCACCUCAGGACUGCUGUCCACCCUGCAUUUCACCAGAUGUGAGUCAAGCAAGAGCAGCCACACUAACCACUUCUCAACACUGUGCUGCAUCUCCUCAUCCUAACAGGGCUCCUCUAACCAGUGUUUUGGCCAUUGCCUGCAUCUGCAGCCAUCUCCCAAAUCUCCCAGAUUCCUCCCUUUCUGGUGUUCAGCGCUAAUGAAAGUCACAACGAUUAAAUGGAAAUCGGAGUUUCUCAACCUAGAAAACAUGCCAUUUUUACAAAGGGAAAUUUGGAUGUCGUUGUGGUUUCCUUAUUGGAUUGUUUUGGAAGCAGUGUGGGGAUAGGAGUGCUGGGAGCUAAAUACACAGAAAAGCAAGAGCAAA
rnacentral:lncRNA from 1 species